UGCCCGAAAGGGUGACGAUGCGACGCCGCGUGAGCGAAGAAGGCCCUAGGGUUGUAAAGCUCUGUCAGGGGUUAAGAAAUGUAGAUAGGUUAAUACCCUGUUUAUUUGACAAAAGCCCCAAAGGAAGCCACGGCUAACUCUGUGCCAGCAGCCGCGGUAAUACAGAGGUGGCAAGCGUUGUUCGGUAUUAUUGGGCGUAAAGAGCACGUAGGUGGUUUUGUAAGUCAGAUGUGAAAGCCUUCUGUUCAAAGGAAGAACGGCAUCUGAAACUGCAAAUCUUGAGUGUAGGAGGGGAGAGUGGAACUUCUGGUGGAGCGGUGAAAUGCGUAGAUAUCAGAAGGAACGUCGGCGGCGAAAGCGACUCUCUGGCCUAUUACUGACACUGAGUGUGCGAAAGUUAGGGGAGCAAACGGGAUUAGAUACCCCGGUAGUCCUAGCCGUAAACGAUGGGCACUAAGUAGAGGGGU
rnacentral:rRNA from 1 species